GGCCCUACACUUUCACAGGCCGUGGCGGAGGAGGAGGAGUACUCCCUGUCCCCCACCACACUGCACCCAUCAAGCCCUACACUGGAACAGGCCACUGAGGAGGAGGAAGAUGAUGAUGAGGCGGCAUUUAGUGACGACGAGCCAGAAUACAUUUUUGUCCGUCGCCAACCAGUGGAGGAGACACCUGUGCCAAUAAUUUAUGGGGGCCCUAGACAGGGGCAAGAUAGGUAGGCUGGCCCAGAAGCGGGCAGGCAGCAGCCCACUUAUACAAGAG